rnacentral:rRNA from 1 species
GAACCGCAUGGUUCAAAAGUGAAAGACGGUCUUGCUGUCACUUAUAGAUGGAUCCGCGCUGCAUUAGCUAGUUGGUAAGGUAACGGCUUACCAAGGCAACGAUGCAUAGCCGACCUGAGAGGGUGAUCGGCCACACUGGAACUGAGACACGGUCCAGACUCCUACGGGAGGCAGCAGUAGGGAAUCUUCCGCAAUGGGCGAAAGCCUGACGGAGCAACGCCGCGUGAGUGAUGAAGGUCUUCGGAUCGUAAAACUCUGUUAUUAGGGAAGAACAUAUGUGUAAGUAACUGUGCACAUCUUGACGGUACCUAAUCAGAAAGCCACGGCUAACUACGUGCCAGCAGCCGCGGUAAUACGUAGGUGGCAAGCGUUAUCCGGAAUUAUUGGGCGUAAAGCGCGCGUAGGCGGUUUUUUAAGUCUGAUGUGAAAGCCCACGGCUCAACCGUGGAGGGUCAUUGGAAACUGGAAAACUUGAGUGCAGAAGAGGAAAGUGGAAUUCCAUGUGUAGCGGUGAAAUGCGCAGAGAUAUGGAGGAACACCAGUGGCGAAGGCGACUUUCUGGUCUGUAACUGACGCUGAUGUGCGAAAGCGUGGGGAUCAAACAGGAUUAGAUACCCUGGUAGUCCACGCCGUAAACGAUGAGUGCUAAGUGUUAGGGGGUUUCCGCCCCUUAGUGCUGCAGCUAACGCAUUAAGCACUCCGCCUGGGGAGUACGACCGCAAGGUUGAAACUCAAAGGAAUUGACGGGGACCCGCACAAGCGGUGGAGCAUGUGGUUUAAUUCGAAGCAACGCGAAGAACCUUACCAAAUCUUGACAUCCUUUGACAACUCUAGAGAUAGAGCCUUCCCCUUCGGGGGACAAAGUGACAGGUGGUGCAUGGUUGUCGUCAGCUCGUGUCGUGAGAUGUUGGGUUAAGUCCCGCAACGAGCGCAACCCUUAAGCUUAGUUGCCAUCAUUAAGUUGGGCACUCUAAGUUGACUGCCGGUGACAAACCGGAGGAAGGUGGGGAUGACGUCAAAUCAUCAUGCCCCUUAUGAUUUGGGCUACACACGUGCUACAAUGGACAAUACAAAGGGCAGCGAAACCGCGAGGUCAAGCAAAUCCCAUAAAGUUGUUCUCAGUUCGGAUUGUAGUCUGCAACUCGACUACAUGAAGCUGGAAUCGCUAGUAAUCGUAGAUCAGCAUGCUACGGUGAAUACGUUCCCGGGUCUUGUACACACCGCCCGUCACACCACGAGAGUUUGUAACACCCGAAGCCGGUGGAGUAACCUUUUAGGAGCUAGCCGUCGAAGGUGGGACAAAUGAUUGGGGUGAAGUCGUAACAAGGUAGCCGUAUCGGAAGGUGCGGCUGGAUCACCUCCUUUCUAAGGA